AAGCGGGAACGAGUGAAGCUGUCCGAGCAUGACCUAACUAGCUAUCUUUGUUGUGUUAAAAACUUCUUGCAAAAGCUUAAAAAUCGAAUUUCUUAAGGAUCCAAAGCUAGCUGGAUAGAUCAUGCUGGCAGCUUCACUUAUUACCUUG
rnacentral:pre_miRNA from 1 species